CCUACGGGAGGCUGCAGUGAGGAAUAUUGGUCAAUGGACGAGAGUCUGACCCAGCCACGUAUCGUGCAGGAUGCCUGCCCUAUGGGUUGUCAACUUCUUUUCUCUGGGAAUACCAUGUUCCCCGUGUUGGAUUUUGUCUGUACCCUAUUACUACUAGUCGUCUACCUCGUUUCAAUCUUCAGCUGUCAUCCGGAGGAUCACCGCUUUAUCCGGAUUUUUUUGGUUUGAAGUGAGCGUAGGUGGAUUGUUACGUCAGUUGUGAAAGGUUGCAGCUCAACCGUAAAAUUGCAGUUGAACCUGGCAGUCGUGAGUACAGUAGAGGUGGGCGGAAUGAGUGGUGUAGAGGUGAAAUGCUUAGAUAGCACGAAGAACUCCGAUUGAGAAGGCAGCGCACUGGACUGCAAUUGACACUGAGGAUAGAAAGUGUGGGUAUCAAACAGGAUGAGAUACCCUGGGAGGC
rnacentral:rRNA from 1 species